UACAAUGAUGAUUUUUUUAAAAUUUAUAACUUUCGUUCUACUGACUAUUGAUCUAACGAUCGUGUAGAGAAAUUUUAUUCCCUGACC
rnacentral:snoRNA from 1 species